CCUAUGGGUGGCUGCAGUGGGGAAUAUUGGACAAUGGGCGAAAGCCUGAUCCAGCCAUGCCGCGUGUGUGAAGAAGGCCUUCGGGUUGUAAAGCACUUUCAGUGGGGAAGAAAGCCUUGGGGCUAAUACCCUCGAGGAAGGACAUCACCCACAGAAGAAGCACCGGCUAACUCCGUGCCAGCAGCCGCGGUAAUACGGAGGGUGCGAGCGUUAAUCGGAAUUACUGGGCGUAAAGCGCGCGUAGGCGGUCUGAUAAGCCGGUUGUGAAAGCCCCGGGCUCAACCUGGGAACGGCAUCCGGAACUGUCAGGCUAGAGUGCAGGAGAGGAAGGUAGAUUUCCCGGUGUAGCGGUGAAAUGCGUAGAGAUCGGGAGGAAUACCAGUGGCGAAGGCGGCCUUCUGGACUGACACUGACGCUGAGGUGCGAAAGCGUGGGUAGCAAACAGGAUUAGAUACCCUUGUAGC
rnacentral:rRNA from 1 species